rnacentral:rRNA from 1 species
UACGUAGGGGGCGAGCGUUACCCGGAUUCACUGGGCGUAAAGGGGGCGUAGGUGGCCGUGUAAGUCCGGUGUGAAAAGCCACGGCUCAACUGUGGACCUGCGCUGGAAACUACAUGGCUUGAGGACGGUAGAGGGAGACGGAACUGCUGGUGUAGGGGUGAAAUCCGUAGAUAUCAGCAGGAACGCCGGUGGGGAAGCCGGUCUCCUGGGCCGUUCCUGACGCUGAGGCCCGAAAGCUAGGGGAGCAAACCGG